rnacentral:misc_RNA from 1 species
AAUAAUAACGGAACCUACCAAGUUCACUUCUUUGUUUAAUUUUGAGAGAUUAAUUCUCUCUAGACUUUGAUCUUUGAAAACUGAAUACUGUAUUAACAAACCAAAAUUUACCGAGUCAUAAAACAUUGAGUUUUAUGCAUUAAAAUAGAGUUUUUAUUAACGAUGAAAACGCAAACGCGAAUCAUAUUGAGACUUAACCAACGG